UGACCUACAUAACGUGCAACAGGUAGUUGUUGUAAGUUGCUACAGGACAGUAGACAAGAUCCCUGAGAAACAAAACAUUAGACAAUUAUAUUUUGACGCAAAACAAUUGCCAAAUGGAAGAAUCAAUACUGACAAAUCUGCAAAACACUUAUUCUAGAGAGAACUCAACUAAACGUAAGAGACAGAGCUUCCCAUCAUGGGGGACCCCGAGAUCUGCACCAAUAUCUAAUUUUGAUGAGAUAUUGUAUUUUGUCAAUAUAGGAUGAUAAAUAUUUUUGUAAUAUGUAAAAAAAAAAUAUAUAUAUUCUAUUCCAUACUACACUAUACUUUAAUGAAUUACAUUAAAAAUGAUUUUAGAUAGACUAGGUCCGUUUCUGAACUUCUUCAAGCUCUCAUUAGUGUAAAGCAGGUUUCUGAGUUGGUGUCCUAUACUGCUGUCCCACAAAUAUCCAAGCUAAUUUAGGUCUCAAUACAAUUUUUCACUUACUAAAAGACCAAAUGUCUAACAAUGUAUCCUCGUGUCUCUGACAUUUACACAGAUUUAAUGUAACUAAAUAAUAAAUAAAUGCAACACCAAUGUUAAGAUGUUUAUUAACAUGAGGACUUUUUUAUUAGCUUUUUAGAGAAAAGCUGUCAGUUGGUGAGUGUAGCUGGUGCAUAGAAGUCAGGAGAGCAGAGAUGAGUGGACAAAGCCCUUUACUAUAAGGCAAUCAUUUGCACAGAACACAACCUCAUUACAAAACAAAUGUCCAACGAACAAGCGAGGCAGCACAAAGUACAAAACCCAAGUACAAAGUACCGGCUGCCACAAAGCACGGGUAAUAAAGCAAAACCCGGCACAAACCAGCAGGAAGUGUGCCAAUCUUGACAAUAAACAAUUCCCCACACAGACAUGGGGGGAACAGAGGGUUAAAUACACGACAAGUAAUGAGGGAAAUGUAAACCAGGUGUGUGGGAAAACAAGACAAAACAAAUGGAAAAUGAAAUGUGGAUCGGCGAUGGCUAGACGACCGGUGACGUCGACAGCCGAACGCCGCCCGAACAAGGAGAGGAAGCGACUUCGGCGGAAGUCGUGACAAAAGCAGUGAGAAUGCUGAUGAACAGAAGUCUCUAAGGGUUUACUUGACCUGUUAAUCUUACAUUCAGUUAAUAAAUUAUUUCAGUGAAAAGUUAUGUUGAUUGUUGAAAAGUUAUGUUGAUUGUUUUAAGUGAUGAUUUGUCUUAAGUAAUGAUUUGGCCCUGAGUGAAUCCUUAGCAUGUAGGCAGGGGCCUUAGGAAACAAGUUACAAUCAUGUUUCCUGUACACUGACCUUAAUCAAUAACCUCAGCUUUAAGAUUUUUUGUUUAAGUGGAACUGGAGAUAACAGAGCUGGACCUGGCUAGAUCUGAACAUUGCACCAUAAUGUUUAUGAUUCAGUAGAAUUGAUGUUAUUCAUUAAGAGAAUUGCCAUUUAGUACGUAAAGGGUCCAGAGUUCCAGUGGUGUUGUGGGAUUUUGACUGUGAACUCAGGAUGUUGUCUAAACAAAUAUUGACUCAAUUUGGAGAAAACAUCUAAAACUUAGGUAGCAUAUUAGAAAUAUUGAUAAAGGUGAUAUAAUAUUUGUUCAUGCAGUAAAAUGAUUCAAAUUGAUUUGCCAAUUAUGUGUGAUCUCCAGUGUCAGCAAGGUUAAAGACCUUUACAAAAUACCAAUACAUGACAGAGAGAGAAAAUGACGUGACUGGGACAUCCAACCUCAGGAAUGGCCCCAAUGUCAUGUCAGGUGGAACUCGAUGUCCUACUAGAAUGCAGCUUCGUUCUUCACACGGCGGAUUGUGCCUUCUGUGAGAUGUUGGUCAUCGACCCCCAGGGAGAGGCUGUGUAUAGACAGGCUGCAGGAGCUGAGGCCUUCCAGGCUGCAAUGGAGAAGUUUCACCCAGGACAUCCCACCCCUGAGGUCAAAUAGGUGAAAGAGUUCAUGGAUACUGCUCAAGGGAGGAGGAUAUGACCUUCCUGAUACUAAGGGUCAGAAAAACUCUCUUGGAGGGGUACCAAGAUGCUG